ACGGGUGAGAAACGCGUAGGAAUCUGCCUUACAGAGGGGGACAACUAGAGGAAACUCUAGCUAAUACCGCAUAAUGUCUGCGGACCAAAGGCUGGGUAGUAAUAUCUGGCGCUGUAAGAGGAGCCUGCGUCCGAUUAGCUAGUUGGUGGGGUAAGAGCCUACCAAGGCGAUGAUCGGUAGCUGGUCUGAGAGGAUGAUCAGCCACACUGGGACUGAGACACGGCCCAGACUCCUACGGGAGGCAGCAGUGGGGAAUAUUGGACAAUGGGGGCAACCCUGAUCCAGCAAUACCGCGUGUGUGAAGAAGGCCUUCGGGUUGUAAAGCACUUUAGGUUGGGAAGAAGGUGUAUUGUUUAAGAGAUGAUACAUUUGACGGUACCGACAGAAUAAGCACCGGCUAACUCUGUGCCAGCAGCCGCGGUAAUACAGAGGGUGCAAGCGUUAAUCGGAGUUACUGGGCGUAAAGGGCGCGUAGGCGGUUAUUUAAGUGAGAUGUGAAAUCCCUGGGCUUAACCUAGGAACUGCAUCUUAUACUGGAUAGCUAGAGUAUUGUAGAGGGUAGUGGAAUUUCCGG
rnacentral:rRNA from 1 species